rnacentral:rRNA from 1 species
GACGAACGCUGGCGGCGUGCCUAAUACGUGCAAGUCGAGCGAGUCUGCCUUGAAGAUCGGAGUGCUUGCACUCUGUGAAACAAGAUACAGGCUAGCGGCGGACGGGUGAGUAACACGUGGGUAACCUGCCCAAGAGAUCGGGAUAACACCUGGAAACAGAUGCUAAUACCGGAUAACAACAGAUGAUGCCUACCAACUGUUUAAAAGAUGGUUCUGCUAUCACUCUUGGAUGGACCUGCGGUGCAUUAGCUAGUUGGUAGGGUAACGGCCUACCAAGGCGAUGAUGCAUAGCCGAGUUGAGAGACUGAUCGGCCACAUUGGGACUGAGACACGGCCCAAACUCCUACGGGAGGCAGCAGUAGGGAAUCUUCCACAAUGGACGCAAGUCUGAUGGAGCAACGCCGCGUGAGUGAAGAAGGGUUUCGGCUCGUAAAGCUCUGUUGUUGGUGAAGAAGGACAGGGGUAGUAACUGACCUUUGUUUGACGGUAAUCAAUUAGAAAGUCACGGCUAACUACGUG